rnacentral:rRNA from 1 species
GUGAGGAAUAUUCCGCAAUGGGGGAAACCCUGACGGAGCAAUGCCGCGUGCAGGAUGAAGGCCCUCGGGUCGUAAACUGCUUUUAUAUGAGAAGAAUAUGACGGUAACAUAUGAAUAAGGGACGGCUAACUACGUGCCAGCAGCCGCCGUCAUACGUAGGUCCCAAGCGUUAUCCGGAGUGACUGGGCGUAAAGAGUUGCGUAGGCGGCUCGUUAAGCGUGAAAUGAAAUUUAUCGGCUCAACCGGUAAACUAUUUCGCGAACUGACGGGCUCGAGAGUAUGAGAGGUUACUGGAAUUUCUAGUGUAGCAGUGAAAUGCGUAGAUAUUAGAAAGAACACCAACGGCGUAGGCAGGUAACUGGCAUACAUCUGACGCUGAGGCACGAAAGCGUGGGGAGCGAACCGGAUUAGAAACCCUAGUAGUCC